UAGACAUAAAACGAUAAAAAUACCCUAUACUAUUUAAUGUAUAUAAACACACCCAAAAUAAACCCAAAAAUCGACAGCUGUAUAUUUUUUAAUUUAAUUAUUAAGAUGAAAUACCUUUAUUACCUUUUUAACAUAAAAUUGGAAUUCUAAUCAACACCAGAUUAGAACUCAUUACACGACCUCCAGUCUCUCAUCUUUAUCUUCAACCCCAAUUUUCAGUUUUUGUUCUUCCACUUCAAUCUCAUCAUUGUUCUUCCACCUCAGUUUUUGUUCAAUCUCUUCAUUCUAAGCUUCGUUGGAGGGCUCGCCUGGGCCACCAACAAUGAUGCACUGGAGAAGGCCUUUCUCCAUUCGAUCAUCAACGACCGUGAGACUGGGAGGUCCAGGGGCUUCGGCUUCGUCACCUUCAGCAAUGAGAACGCCAUGAGAGAUGCCCGAAGGCAUGAACGACCAGAACUUCGACGGUCGUAACAUACCGUAAAUGAGGCCCAGUCUUGUGGAAGCUAAAAUGAAAUGUUGUAAUAUGUAUGUGUCUACAUGUAUUGUAUUUUCAGCUGUGGAUAAGGAAUUUUUGGGAUUUUA